rnacentral:rRNA from 1 species
AGAGAGAGACAUGCGCGCAUAUCAAUAAGCGGAGGAAAAGAAACUAACAAGGAUUCCCUUAGUAACGGCGAGUGAAGCGGGAAGAGCUCAAAUUUGAAAUCUUCAAGGUUUUACCUUGACGAAUUGUAGUUUAAAGAAGUGUUUUCUGCUGAAGUUUUGGUAAAAGUUCUUUGGAAUAGGACAUCAUAGAGGGUGAGAAUCCCGUAUUUGACCAUUAUUUUCAGCUUUGUGAUACACUUUCAAAGAGUCGGAUUGUUUGGGAAUGCAGUCCAAAAUGGGUGGUAAAUUUCAUCUAAAGCUAAAUAUUGGCGAGAGACCGAUAGCGAACAAGUACCGUGAGGGAAAGAUGAAAAGAAACUUUGAAAAGAGAGUUAAACAGUACGUGAAAUUGUCAAAAGGGAAGCGUUUGACACCAGUGUUGUUUUCUCGAAAAUCAAUUAAAAAUGGCUCGAUUUUGUAUUGUUGAGACCUUAAAAGCUCACUGUACAUUUUUCGUGUCUUUUUUAAUGCACUUUUCGUUUAACAAGUCAACAUCAGUUUCUUUUGUUGUAAAAGGGUCAUUGGAAGGUGGCUUUCUUUUCGGAGAAAGUGUUUAUAGCCUUUGGCCUCUGCAAUCGAAGAGACUGAGGUCUGCAGCGUAGACUCUUCGGGGUUAGAUACAUUUGUGCUAGGUUAUAGCUUUUUAUAGACAACUUGUUGACUAUAAUUAGUCUUGUAGCUUACUCGCUUAUGCUAUUUUACCUACGCUUAGGAUGUUGAGUCGUAGAGCACGCAG